rnacentral:rRNA from 1 species
CGCGUAGGCGGCAGUGUAUGUCAGAUGUGAAAUACUCCGGCUCAACCAGAGAACAGCAUCUGAAACUGCACAGCUAGAGUACAGAAGAGGGAAACGGAAUUCCCGGUGUAGAGGUGAAAUUCGUAGAUAUCGGGAGGAACACCAGUGACGAAGGCGGUUUCCUGGUCUGAUACUGACGCUGAGGCGCGAAAGCGUGGGGAGCAAACAG